AAAAGGACAUCAACCAAAAUGGGCUAGAGUUUUGAACAGCUGUAUUGAGAAAAAAGAAGUUCACAAAUAAUUUAAUAAUAAUAUUUAAUGAAUUUUGAUUUCUAUUCGGGAGUGUAAAUAUAAAUAAUAUUAAAUAAGAAUAAAAACAGUUUUGUAAUUGAUUAUUGUUAUUAUUGGUGACACUGCCAUGACAACAGUUUUGUGACAGUUCUUUUUCGUAUUUAUAUUGUGAAUAUUAUUUCGAUUUUGGCUAUUUUUGACGACUGUGCUAUUCAAAAUGGAUUCUGGUGAUUUUCUAUCCGAUAACCCCGGCUCACUCUUGGACUCAGUACCCGCUCAAACGUUAACCCUGGCAACGAAGCCGCUUUACAUGAGGACGACCCCGUAAACUUGGACUUUCCGAUUUUGCCUAGUGAAUCUAUAUAUUGUGUCAAUUGUGGAACUGAAAUCACUCACAGGAGAAGACACAAUGUUAAUCUUGUGGAAGUGCAGCGAGUUAUACUGCAAUGGAUCGCACCACAAGUGUUUAAUGUGUACAGAGAGCCGGUCUGCUGUUUUCUAAACAACGUUUUUCGUAUGAAAAUUGAAGGCCCUUGAAGCGUUCGUGUUGGAUAUUAUUUUUUUCUGUGUCAGCGUCGUGAUCAGCAAUGGAUUUGAGGAUGGAGCAUUUGAGGAUAAUUAUUGAUAACGGUAAUAAGAUGGUUGCCGUGACAAAGAUUACACAAAUUAUGGAAGGCUUAUACGACAAGUAAGUUUUUUAUGCCCCCAUAUAAGUCAUUUGGUACAAGUAGAUAAAAUUUUGCUUUUAAAAUUUAUUCACACAUUCAAGAGGUUAUGACGACACCUCCAUAAAAUUUCACAAUAAAAUAUUUCAAUAAAUACAGAUUUCACAACUACUUUUUUGCAUUACAUUACGUAGUCUACUCCCCAAAAAA